GUUUGAAUGAUGACACUCAAAAAUGUCGGAUACCCCUUCACUCCUUUUAUGAGUGAUAUAAGUAGUCUGACAAAC
rnacentral:snoRNA from 1 species